UUUUAGCGGCGGACGGGUGAGUAACGCGUGAGCAACCUUUCCUUCACAGGGGGAUAAGAUACCGAAAGGUGUUCUAAUACCGCAUGAGACCACAGAGCCACAUGGCUUAGGGGUCAAAGGAGGAAUCCGGUGAAGGGUGGGCUCGCGUCCGAUUAGCUAGUUGGUGAGGUGACGGCCCACCAAGGCGACGAUCGGUAGCCGACCUGAGAGGGUGACCGGCCACAUUGGGACUGAGACACGGCCCAA
rnacentral:rRNA from 1 species